AUACGGAGGAUCCGGGCGUUAUCCGGAAUUACUGGGUUUAAAGGGUGCGUAGGCGGGGCUUUAAGCCGGCGGUGAAAUGCAGCGGCUCAACCGCUGGAAUGCCGUUGAUACUGGGGGCCUUGGAUUCGGUCGAGGCGGGCGGAAUGCGUGGUGUAGCGGUGAAAUGCUUAGAUAUCACGCAGAACGCCGAUUGCGAAGGCAGCUCGCCGGGCCGAUAUCGACGCUGAGGCACGAAAGCGUGGGGAUC
rnacentral:rRNA from 1 species